rnacentral:rRNA from 1 species
CAGUCGUACCUGCGGACAAUCAGCUUUUUGAGUGUGAUUAUGUGGAUUGUGAGGAGCUUAACACCUUCAUGCUUUUGCACAUUCGUGCUCUUGGGUGUACUUGCCCGUGUGGUUGGUUAACAUCAAUUUCGGGCACCAUAAAAUGGCUGGAGGAAUGUAGCUUCGAUCUUGUAUUGAAGUGUUAUAGCCUUCGAUAGAUGUGGUGAUCGAGAUUGAGGAUUGCAACGGAUACCCUUCGGGGCUACUCGUCUGGUCUCUGAGGUUGCUCGGUGCCGAAAGCGUGCUUACGGUCAUCGAAAGUG